GGAGGAGCGGAUGCGUAUCUAAGAAGAUAGAAAACACAGACUAAUGAGAUGAAAGGUUAGGUAUAGAAUUUUAUUAUAAGAAUAUAUAUGGAUCCGAAUACUGAAUCCAAAUACAGACGGACCAUCUCGAAAUGCUAAAAAAACCCAUCCCAUUUCCCGCCAAAACCAAAAAAAGAAGGCUCUAAUCAAGUGACACGUGUCCCAUAUUUUUUUGUUUAUUAUAUAUAAUAGAUUAUUAACUAUGAUUGAUGUAGAUUUAGGUUUUAUUACUUUACACACUCUGUAACAAAAAAUCCUUCGGAGUUCAGUAUAUUCUUUUGUUAGUUUAUGUAUGUUUUGUUGCUGAUUUUCAGCAGAGAAAAAGGCCAAUGGGACUAUGGAUUCUGGCAACACUUUGAAUAAACACUAUGUUUCGAUGUCAUAUUUUGGAUUGCUAUAAAACUUCCGUGAAAAACACUUUGGAUAAACACUGGUUUUUUUUGUUUGUUGUAGAAAUUCCAUGAUUUUGGCACACAUCCAUCCGAUUCUUUUUAAUUGUUAAUGCAUACUGAAACGGGUUUUUCCAUCCAUUCACUUGCCGGUUUUAUAUCUUUACAGAUUAUUGUUGAUUCCAAAAUUUUUGGCCCUUUUUAUAACCUAUGUAAAUACGCCUCAUUUUGUUUUAGGUUUGAUCAUGAUUGGAAGAAAAAAUGAAGAAAUGUAUGUUCAAGAAAUUGAAAUUAAAGACAGAAAUGUAUGUCCAACACUUUAACUUCUAUGUAUUUUUUUACAUCUUAAUCUUACCUCAUAUGCAUUUGAUGUUGCUCCAUUACUCGGUUGCAAUAGUUUAAGAAGCUCACAAAGUAGUAAUAUUUAAUUGUGCUUUAAAUUUAUGUAUUCGGCAUAUAUUCGAUCACAGGUCUUCAUUAUUGCUAUUGACAUUGCUGAGGUUGAACCUAGCAGAAUGGUACAAGGACCUAACUCUUGAAAAUUUUUACUUAUAACCUUUUUUUGUUUGGUUUCACAAUCGCCGAUGAAAGAUAGACACCCUAUCCCAUUUUGAUUGGUGACUAUAUAUUUGCGAUCUAGCGAGUUACAACAUUGCAAAAUAGCCAAAACGUUUGGUUUGGUCCUGGUCUACUUUAUUUUUGGUUUGUUCCAAGGGUUUAAUUUCUUGAUCUGGUUAUGGCUAUUUUUUUAUUGAUUUUAUAAAUUAACUGUUUCAUUUGUUUUAAUUUAGGUUUCCAUGUUUGCAAAUAAAAAAAAUGCAAAAGGUAAGCCUUCAAAGCUCACAUGGACAGCUUUGAAUACAAGUUUGUUGAUUGUUAAUAUAGGUACAUGUUGUCCCGAGCUUAAGGUUAGUUAAUUGCACUUUUCAAUUUUUCUUUUGAUCAGUCAAAUAUCACUAAUGGCAAUGGUUUUAAUGUUAGUGUGCAUCAAUCUAUUGAGGUUUUACAUGCUGGUAUAAAAAAUAAAUUUAAAAGGAAAUGGUCAAACCUUGCCAGAAUGGUUUCAGGUUCGUAUCUAGAUGUAAAUAGUUGCUUUAGUCUAACAACAUGUUUUUGUAUGUUAGACAGAUCAUGUGAGCAUCCAUUUAGCUUAUACCAGAAGAUCCUUCGGUUGGAAUCCCAAAUAAAGUACCACUGGAGUAUAGAGCUAUUUCUUUUUGGCAAUUCAAUUUGCUCCAUCUGUGGUGUUGGGAACUAGGACGUGAACCAUAUUCUGAUCGCUUGCCAAUUUUCCAAUUUGCCAAUUCUGUUUGGAGUCAAAUUUGCCUUUGGAUUUAAAUCCCUCCCAUCAAGCUGAACAUAUAAGUGAGGUAUGUGCUUUAAUACUUUAAUGAAUGGGGUUGCUCUGCAAAUAGAAAAAAAGAUCAUUCUGGUCAUAGUUUAUACUUGCUUUUGGAUUUUGUGUCUUCUGGAAAUGAGAGUCCUUAAUGGGAAGUUGGUGUCAACUUGAAAGGUGUGGAGGAUAUUAGGACUCAACAUUGAUAGUCGGUUAUAGCAGCAGUGGAUGUUUCUUUAAGGCUAUCGUUGAUAUUUUGGUAUAAAAUCAAUUGUUAGGAUCAUAGUUAGAGUUUCUUUUAAUUUCUAUUCUUUAGGCUAAUUGAUUGUAGUUUUCUUAAUCUUUAGAGUUUGAAAUUGAAACCGAAGAGUUUGAGUGAAAUGCCUUAGGAUUCGAUUGUGAAAGGUAAUGAGUCGACUGAGGCGAAAACAGAGUUUGCUAUGUUGUAUAGUUAUGGGGAUAUGGGGGAGAAGUUAAGGAUAUUGAAGCCAGCGAAUAAGAAGGUUAGGUUUUCUUUGGAGGAGUUAAAUGAGAGGCUACAAAUGGGGGAAAAGGAGGUAGCCGUUGGGGGAUUUAGGCCAUUAAGGGAGAGCCUUAUAAAGUUGUACACUAGAGACCAAGAAAAUAAGAAACCAGGUUUGUCAAGGCUUAAAUCUAUUUUUUUUCUUCUAAAUUUCUAUAUUUUUUUAAUAUUGGCAUUUGUUGUCAGGUUGUAGACACGUUUGGAUGUGGUCUGACAAUUUGUUUGUGUUGUUUCUUGGUAAAUAAAUUCUCAUCAUCUCUAAGCAAAAACUGUUUCCAUGAUGACUUUUGGUGCUUUUUAACCUGUUUGACCCGCAUGUAUUUUAGCUAUUUUUUUUUUAAUUUGAUUACUUUGACCUGUUUGAGAUAAAAACACAAUCCCUUCAUAAAUAAACGGGUCAAUGCAUUGAACAAUAAUAUCUGAAUUUACAGGUGAUCUCCGGUGACUCGAGUUGAUAUCAAGUUGUUCUUGAUAGUGUGGACACUAAGCUUCAAAGAGAUCUAUUUGAUAUUUGGAAUAAAGAUUCUAAAAGUUUGUUCUUUGCAGGUCAGAAACGAUUCCUCGCACGUUUAUGUAUAUGGUACAGAGCAACCUAAGCAAGGAAGCAAGAAAAUAGGAAAAGGCUACACUUUUUAUGAUUUCCAUUUGGUAGGUUUAGUAACACUUGCUACUUAAUCUUUUUGACUGUUUUGGGCACCAUUAAACACUUUAAUGGGUUCGUGAAACCUUGGAUUUGAGAGGGAAUUUAUGUUUUUGUAAUUGCUCUUUGCUAGCAUCCUACUGGCAUUUUAUUAAAAUUAUUCAUUUUGUUAAAAAAAAAGAUUCAUCACAUUUUUAUUUCUUUGAAACGUCAAUUAUGGAAACCCGUUAUAAAUUGGAUUUGCAAAAACUAUUUAGGGACAAGGAAAAGAUUAGUAAUGAGAUUAUAGGUUGGAUUUGCAAAAAAAAACAGUUUUGGUUAUGAUGGUUAGGCACCAGAACUUUGUUAUGUAUUGGUGGAAACAUGUUGGCAUAUUGGGGGGAGGGGGGAUCAAUGGAAUCUGACACGUUAAAUUAACAUACAAAAGCAUUUUGGGUGAGAUUAACAUACAAAAGUAUUAGUUUUGACCUCCAAUUUACCACCUGUAAGUUUUCUUUUUAUGAACUGAGAAAUCUACCUCUUUGACCCGUGGUAUUUAUCACACAUUUGACCCAUUAUCUGAUAAUAUUUGUUCUUUGGUAACAAGUCAAAAAUGUCAUUUUAAAUACUUGGAAGAACAGGAGUCAACAAAGUCUGAUGUUUCUCUCUAAUCCUUAAUUGAGGAAGAGACUGCAAACCAUUUUUUCGCUUCUUGCUUAAUGGCGAAAAGCGUGUGGUGGGAGAUUUUUAAUUGGAUCAGAGUGUCGAUGCCUCAGAACAUGAACAAGCUGGUGGACAUUUUAAGUGUUUUGUGGACAGCAUCAGGAGAAAAAAAAUGUAAGAAGCUGGUCUAUACGGUGGUUAUGGCGUCGGUGUGGAGACUUUGGAAGGCGAGGAAUUUAAAGGUGUACGAAAACAAGUUUUUGCACAUCUGGGAAGUCAUGGAGCUGACUAAAGAGGACACCUUUGUUUGGAUAUGCAAUAGAACCAAGCUCCCAACGCCGAAGUAGGAUAAUUGGCUACAAUUGGAUGUCAUAGAACUGUUGUAAUAGGAUGUGUUUUUUGCUCUUUUUGUUUUGUUUGUUCUAUUGGAGUUGGGUUCUUGGAUUGCAUCUUCCCAGCUCCUCCUUCCUGGGAAGUUUCUUUUUUCUCUGUAUAGAUAUAGAUUGUAGGCGUUAAAAAACACAAAAGACAUUGUAUUAGUAGUUUAGUACUCCUUAUUAUGUUAUUAAGGUAUCAAAACGUUCAUCAAGUACUUAAUGUA